AUUGAACGCUGGCGGCAGGCCUAACACAUGCAAGUCGAGCGGAUGAAGGGAGCUUGCUCCUGGAUUCAGCGGCGGACGGGUGAGUAAUGCCUAGGAAUCUGCCUGGUAGUGGGGGAUAACGUCCGGAAACGGGCGCUAAUACCGCAUACGUCCUGAGGGAGAAAGUGGGGGAUCUUCGGACCUCACGCUAUCAGAUGAGCCUAGGUCGGAUUAGCUAGUUGGUGGGGUAAAGGCCUACCAAGGCGACGAUCCGUAACUGGUCUGAGUGGAUGAUCAGUCACACUGGAACUGGGACACGGUCCAGACUCCUACGGGAGGCAGCAGUGGGGAAUAUUGGACAGUGGGCGAAAGCCUGGUCCAGCCGUGCCGCGUGUGUGGAGAAGGUCUUCGGAUUGUAAAGCACUUUAAGUUGGGAGAAAGGGCAGUAAGUUAAUACCUUGCUGGUUUGACGUUACCAACAGAAUAAGCACCGGCUAACUUCGUG
rnacentral:rRNA from 1 species